AUGGGGGUCCUGAUUCCUGAUAAUGAUUUUGCUCAUGUCGAUAUCCUUAGAGAAUUAGAAGUAGUUCGAGCCAAUCUGGUUGAUAAGAAGAGUAAUAUCCAGGAUAAUAUAGAUAAGGAGAACAUGUUCAUCACCAAUGGGCUGGGAAAGGAUACUCCUUUAAACCUAGCUUGGCUGGAUGAGGAUGAGAUGAUCAAUGAAAAAAUUAUGAAAUCCAAAUCUUCUAAGAAAAAUAAGAGAAAGGUGGAGGUUCGACUACCUAGAGGGGUGGGCAAGAAAGGGAUGGCCACCUGCCUCUCUGAUAUCAUUAGUGAUCAUCUCAUCGACUUUGUAGGAUUACAGGAAACCUUGAAAAAAGAUUUCUCCCCCAAGCUCCUUAGGAGGCUUGAUCCUUUUAGUUCUUUUCAUUGGGAAUGGAUCCCUACUAUUGGCAAAUCUGGGGGGAUUCUCUGUGGUAUUCGAAAUAGCAAUCUGGAAUUGUUGAACUGCAUCAAAGGCAAAUAUGUGUUACAGUUGAAUAUCAAAGACCUCAGGACCAAGAGGAUUUGGAGCCUGCUGGUGGUCUAUGGUUCUGCUCAUGAGGAGCAUAGGGAGGAAUUUCUGAUUGAGCUAGCUUCCUUUUGCCUCAACACUAACAUCCCUUAUAUUGUGGGGGGCGAUUUUAAUAUCCUGAGGCACACUGGGGAGAAAAAUAAAAAGGGUGGGGGUCGGAUAAAUUCGGCCAUGCCAAAAAGCGCAAAGAGGAAUUACGCCUCGAGCUUUGAAUUAUUAGAGGAGGCAGAGGAGGAGGGCCCCCUGCCACCUGAUUUAUAUGGUAGAAAGCUGGAUGUGUGCGUUGAGCUACAUGAGCUGCUAGCUGCUGAAGAGAUUUAUUGGCUGCAGCAAUCUCACGAGCGAUGGUUGCUCAGGGGGGACCGUAACACGGACUACUUCCACAAAAUAGCUAAUGGCCGCAAACGUAAGAAUACUAUCCAUGCUCUCAAAUAUGGAGAGGUGGAAAUAGAGGGUACUGAUAACCUGCUGACCCAUGCCACUAGUUUCUAUAAGGAACUGUUUGGCCCGGCCCCUGACACCCAGAAUGGGAUCUGGCAAGAUAUUGUCAGGGCUCGGUACCUACGUACCCAAACUGUUGCGUCCGUGAGUCCCCAUUUCUCUGAUUCCCCCUGCUGGAAAAAUUUGCUGAGCAUCAAAGAUCUUUAUAUGGCGGGCAGAAAAAUCCAGGUGGGAGCUGGUAACCUGACCAGGCUCUGGAAGGAUUCCAUCAAUGGGCUGAUCCCAUUUCAGGAACAAUAUCCUCGCCUGUUUGACAUAUGCGUCGACCAAGAAUGUACCUUGGAUAGAAUGGAGACUGUGGUGUGCUCCAACUUCUUUCGCAGAAGGUUGGACCCAGAGCUCUUGGGACAGUGGACUGAUCUCCGUGAUCAGGUCAGUGGCAUGCAUUUGUCGGAUGCCCCGGACGCUGUUUACUGGGGUCUGAAUAAGUCAGGCAAGCAGGUGAUGCGACAGCGCAAAUGGCCGGGGAACCCUGUGUGUUCCUUCUGUCAACAAGUUGAAACCUCCCAGCAUCUGUUCUUUGAAUGCCCAGUUGCCAGGGUAGUGUGGCGAUCUAUUGGAGUAACCCUUGGGACUGAACUGUGUCCUAGAAACCAAUGGCAAUUCUUUACAUGGUGCUAUUCUUUUCUACCUGACUAUGAAACCUUCUAUAUUGUGGCCUUGGGUGCAGUCACUUGGUCUAUAUGGCUGGCACGCAACAGUGCUACUUUUGAGAGAAAAAUGAUCAAUACCCCUUUCGAGAUAGUUUUUACAGUGGUCUCUUUCCUAUUAUAUUGGGCAGGUCUGCAAGACAAGGGCGACGCCAAGCUACUUCGUACGGGAGCGGAGAUGAUUCGCAAUGGGACUCUGAUGCUGAUGAGGACCUGUGAUGCGGCGGUCAAGAUUGGUGGCUCUAGCUGA
rnacentral:rRNA from 1 species